rnacentral:lncRNA from 1 species
AUGUAUUUUUGUAUCUCGAUCAGUGUUAGGGCUUUUCUAUUAACAUUUAGCCUGGGAAAGCUUAUUCCAAUUCUAAAAAUCCCUGAAAACCAAAUACCAAAGUCCAAUAUGAUCGAUCUGGCUCUUCAAGCCUGUCAGCAUACAAGAAACUUAUCGCAGCAAGAGAUUUUCCAUGUAGUUAACCUGGUUCCUGAACUUUCGGCCGAUAUCUUCCUUCAAAAUCUGCAUAAAAAGAGUAUUUCAACGUACCUCAUUACCAAUCCUGGACAAAUUGUAAACCAACAUACACGUAAUUACAAUUCGAAAAAUAUGAUUUUUUUCGUGAACGAUUUCCGUGACAUAUUCAACUUGAUUUUGAAGCCCUCGAGCGGAGAGACCGAGGUUGGAACUCCUCACGGAUCAUUCUUCGAUGACCCUUCCUAUUACUUCAACCAAAGUGACGAUGAACCAAGGGGACUUGCAUUCGAGCAAAAAUAUUCAGAUGCUUUCGGAGGCUGCGAUUUAAAGAUUGAAGAGGAUGCUGUUGAUGUUCCAAUAUCCACGGACUCAUCAACUUCAUCAAAAUCGUUCAUUUUACAUAUUGGAAUGUCAGAAUUGGAGAGAGGCUCCGUUUUAUCAGACCAAGUUUUUUAUUUCACUCGCCACCUCUAUAAUCACACGAUUUGGAACUACCAAAAUCACUUGAUCUUCGUUCUUCCGAGAUUGAGCAAAUCUUUAAAAUCUGCAAAUCGUGAAGUAUUGAACGUGACAAACAUUAACCUGAGGCGGUUCACCAGCACUGCAAUAUUAGUCUGUUUUAAAGCAUUUUGGCGAUUCUUUAGAGGGUUGAGAGUUGUCAUCUGCUUAGAAGAAGUGUGCUACCGCUAUGAUCCUUACUUAGAGAGGAUCCUUCAUUACGAGGGUUGCAGAGAAGAAGAUUACUUCGAUUUUUCCGUUAAAAAUCUGUAUGGCAAGUCUUUGGCUGUCGCAUAUAGCCAUGAUGAUGCCGACGAGCAUAUAAGCUUGAUAAACACCGGUGCAUGGACAAGUUACACGGAUUAUGCUUUGGAGGAGAUAAAAAACGGUAUGAACUGCUCUUUUGAUUCAUUCAUGAGGCCGCCAGAAGUAGAACAUCCACUGGAUACCGAAGUAGGUCAGAAAUAUGAUAUAGACAUUAUUAUAUUCAAUGGUGGGGCGGAUUACAAAGAUUCUGGUUAUUCAAAAUUCGACCGCACAGUGGGUGUUGAAACUUGUGUAUUGUGCUUCGUUGCACCUCGACAAGGGUUCAUGCCCUCCUACCUAGUCGUCUUCAGAAGUUUUUCAACACCCUUGUGGGUUAUUUUCCUGGUGACGGUAGCUACAUUUGUCUUCAUGCAGCGGGUUUUCCAGUAUUUUCAAUCGAACGUGUUUAGUGAGUUCUACACCGAGCGAAAUAGAUGCACGUAUGAGAGCACCUCUGCACUUCUAGUCAUUUACAGCUAUUUCCUUUGUGGAAGUCCUCCACGACUUCUUCUUGGGAAACUCUCCACGGGUAAAAUCCUCUUCUUGAUAUUUUCGUUUUCAGCAUUGAUCAUUGGGACAGUGUACCAGAGUCAAAUGGUCACACUCUUAAGCAAUCGCGUUCGGUUCAAAGACAUUGAUACGGUUGAGGAGUUAAGAGAGUCUAACUUGUAUAUUCAGACCCCAGAUAUCGACAUGCUCGCCACAUAUUUUGGUCAACAUCCUGAGUAUACAGGAUUGGAGGAGAAACUGACCACCAGCUUUUGGUCCAUAUAUGAUGCAUUUAUAAGCCAGAACGAUAGGAAAUGA